GCCUGGGUGGCUCAGUCGGUUAAGCGUCCGACUUCAGCUCAGGUCAUGAUCUCGCAGUGUGUGGGUUCGAGCCCCACAUCGGGCU
rfam:Felis catus isolate Cinnamon breed Abyssinian chromosome C1, whole genome shotgun sequence.